rnacentral:rRNA from 1 species
CCUACGGGAGGCUGCAGUGGGGAAUAUUGGACAAUGGGGGCAACCCUGAUCCAGCCAUGCCGCGUGUGAAGAAGGCCCUCGGGUUGUAAAGCACUUUCAGUGAGGAAGAACGCCUGGUGGUUAAUACCCAUCAGGAAAGACAUCACUCACAGAAGAAGCACCGGCUAACUCCGUGCCAGCAGCCGCGGUAAUACGGAGGGUGCGAGCGUUAAUCGGAAUUACUGGGCGUAAAGCGCGCGUAGGUGGCUUGAUAAGCCGGUUGUGAAAGCCCCGGGCUCAACCUGGGAACGGCAUCCGGAACUGUCAAGCUAGAGUGCAGGAGAGGAAGGUAGAAUUCCCGGUGUAGCGGUGAAAUGCGUAGAGAUCGGGAGGAAUACCAGUGGCGAAGGCGGCCUUCUGGACUGACACUGACACUGAGGUGCGAAAGCGUGGGUAGCAAACAGGAUUAGAUACCCUGGUAGUC